GGUUAAGCGACUAAGCGUACACGGUGGAUGCCCGGCAGUCAGAGGCGAUGAAGGACGUGCUAAUCUGCGAUAAGCGCCGGUAAGGUGAUAUGAACCGUUAUAACCGGCGAUUUCCGAAUGGGGAAACCCAGUGUGACUCGUCACACUAUCAUUAACUGAAUCCAUAGGUUAAUGAGGCGAACCGGGGAACUGAAACAUCUAAGUACCCCGAGGAAAAGAAAUCAACCGAGAUUCCCCAGUAGCGGCGAGCGAACGGGAGGAGCCCAGAGCCUGAAUCAGCAUGUGUGUUAGUGGAAGCGUCUGGAAAGGCGCGCGAUACAGGGUGACAGCCCCGUACACAAAAGCGCAUGUGCUGUGAGCUCGAUGAGUAGGGCGGGACACGUGGUAUCCUGUCUGAAUAUGGGGGACCAUCCUCCAAGGCUAAAUACUCCUGACUGACCGAUAGUGAACCAGUACCGUGAGGGAAAGGCGAAAAGAACCCCGGCGAGGGAGUGAAAAAGAACCUGAAACCGUGUACGUACAAGCAGUGGGAGCACAGGUUUACCUGUGUGACUGCGUACCUUUGUAUAAUGGGUCAGCGACUUAUAUUCUGUAGCAAGGUUAACCGUAUAGGGAGCCGCAGGGAAACCGAGUCUUAACCGGGCGUUAAGUUGCAGGGUAUAGACCCGAAACCCGGUGAUCUAGCCAUGGGCAGGUUGAAGGUUGGGUAACACUAACUGGAGGACCGAACCGACUAAUGUUGAAAAAUUAGCGGAUGACCUGUGGCUGGGGGUGAAAGGCCAAUCAAACCGGGAGAUAGCUGGUUCUCCCGAAAGCUAUUUAGGUAGCGCCUCGUGAAUUCAUCUCCGGGGUAGAGCACUGUUUCGGCUAGGGGCCAUCCCGGCUUACCAACCCGAUGCAAACUGCGAAUACCGGAGAAUGUUAUCACGGGAGACACACGGCGGGUGCUAACGUCCGUCGUGAAGAGGGAAACAACCCAGACCGCCAGCUAAGGUCCCAAAGUCAUGGUUAAGUGGGAAACGAUGUGGGAAGGCCCAGACAGCCGGAUGUUGGCUUAGAAGCAGCCAUCAUUUAAAGAAAGCGUAAUAGCUCACUGGUCGAGUCGGCCUGCGCGGAAGAUGUAACGGGCUAAACCAUGCACCGAAGCUGCGGCAGCGACACUGUGUGUUGUUGGGUAGGGAGCGUUCUGUAAGCCUGUGAAGGUGUGUCGUGAGGCAUGCUGGAGGUAUCAGAAGUGCGAAUGCUGACAUAAGUAACGAUAAAGCGGGUGAAAAGCCCGCUCGCCGGAAGACCAAGGGUUCCUGUCCAACGUUAAUCGGGGCAGGGUGAGUCGACCCUAAGGCGAGGCCGAAAGGCGUAGUCGAUGGGAAACGGGUUAAUAUUCCCGUACUUGGUGUUACUGCGAAGGGGGACGGAGAAGGCUAUGUUGGCCGGGCGACGGUUGUCCCGGUUUAAGCGUGUAGGUGUGUGUUCGGUAAAUCCGGUUCACUUUAACACUGAGGCGUGACGACGAGGCACUACGGUGCUGAAGCAACAAAUGCCCUGCUUCCAGGAAAGCCUCUAAGCAUCAGGUAACAUCAAAUCGUACCCCAAACCGACACAGGUGGUCAGGUAGAGAAUACCAAGGCGCUUGAGAGAACUCGGGUGAAGGAACUAGGCAAAAUGGUGCCGUAACUUCGGGAGAAGGCACGCUGACACGUAGGUGAAGUGAUUUACUCAUGGAGCUGAAGUCAGUCGAAGAUACCAGCUGGCUGCAACUGUUUAUUAAAAACACAGCACUGUGCAAACACGAAAGUGGACGUAUACGGUGUGACGCCUGCCCGGUGCCGGAAGGUUAAUUGAUGGGGUCAGCGCAAGCGAAGCUCCUGAUCGAAGCCCCGGUAAACGGCGGCCGUAACUAUAACGGUCCUAAGGUAGCGAAAUUCCUUGUCGGGUAAGUUCCGACCUGCACGAAUGGCGUAAUGAUGGCCGUGCUGUCUCCACCCGAGACUCAGUGAAAUUGAACUCGCUGUGAAGAUGCAGUGUACCCGCGGCAAGACGGAAAGACCCCGUGAACCUUUACUAUAGCUUGACACUGAACAUUGAGCCUUGAUGUGUAGGAUAGGUGGGAGGCUUUGAAGCGUGGACGCCAGUCUGCGUGGAGCCAACCUUGAAAUACCACCCUUUAAUGUUUGAUGUUCUAACGUGGACCCGUAAUCCGGGUUGCGGACAGUGUCUGGUGGGUAGUUUGACUGGGGCGGUCUCCUCCUAAAGAGUAACGGAGGAGCACGAAGGUUGGCUAAUCUGGUCGGACAUCAGGAGGUUAGUGCAAUGGCAUAAGCCAGCUUGACUGCGAGCGUGACGGCGCGAGCAGGUGCGAAAGCAGGUCAUAGUGAUCCGGUGGUUCUGAAUGGAAGGGCCAUCGCUCAACGGAUAAAAGGUACUCCGGGGAUAACAGGCUGAUACCGCCCAAGAGUUCAUAUCGACGGCGGUGUUUGGCACCUCGAUGUCGGCUCAUCACAUCCCGGGGCUGAAGUAGGUCCCAAGGGUAUGGCUGUUCGCCAUUUAAAGUGGUACGCGAGCUGGGUUUAGAACGUCGUGAGACAGUUCGGUCCCUAUCUGCCGUGGGCGCUGGAGAACUGAGGGGGCUGCUCCUAGUACGAGAGGACCGGAGUGGACGCAUCACUGGUGUUCGGGUUGUCAUGCCAAUGGCACUGCCCGGUAGCUAAAUGCGGAAGAGAUAAGUGCUGAAAGCAUCUAAGCACGAAACUUGCCCCGAGAUGAGUUCUCCCUGAGACUUAAAGUCUCCUGAAGGAACGUUGAAGACGACGACGUUGAUAGGCCGGGUGUGUAAGCGCAGCGAUGCGUUGAGCUAACCGGUACUAAUGAACCGUGAGGCUUAACCUU
rnacentral:rRNA from 1 species